rnacentral:rRNA from 1 species
GAUGAACGCUGGCGGCGUGCCUAAUACAUGCAAGUCGAGCGAACAGACGAGGAGCUUGCUCCUCUGACGUUAGCGGCGGACGGGUGAGUAACACGUGGAUAACCUACCUAUAAGACUGGGAUAACUUCGGGAAACCGGAGCUAAUACCGGAUAAUAUAUUGAACCGCAUGGUUCAAUAGUGAAAGACGGUUUUGCUGUCACUUAUAGAUGGAUCCGCGCCGCAUUAGCUAGUUGGUAAGGUAACGGCUUACCAAGGCGACGAUGCGUAGCCGACCUGAGAGGGUGAUCGGCCACACUGGAACUGAGACACGGUCCAGACUCCUACGGGAGGCAGCAGUAGGGAAUCUUCCGCAAUGGGCGAAAGCUUGACGGAGCAACGCCGCGUGAGUGAUGAAGGUCUUCGGAUCGUAAAACUCUGUUAUUAGGGAAGAUCAAAUGUGUAAGUAACUAUGCACGUCUUGACGGUACCUAAUCAGAAAGCCACGGCUAACUACGUG